GAUAUCAACUGAAAAAGUCAUCAACAACAAAGUUGAAUAACUCAUCAAGAUCUAAAACUUUUAUUUUGGUCAUUUCUUCAUACGACAAAGUGAUAGUAACAUUGUUCACAAAAUGGACAUAUCUCUUAUCUGGUUUUAUAAACUAUAACACAUAUAUGUAAAAUUUAUGAAUAAUAUUACUAACAUUUCGUCGGAUGAAGAAAUAACAAAAAUAAAAGUUUUAGAUCUUGAUGAGUUAUUCAACUUUGUUGUUGAUGACUUUUUCAAUUGAAAUC
rfam:Oryza sativa (indica cultivar-group) chromosome 5, whole genome shotgun sequence.